rnacentral:rRNA from 1 species
UACAGAGGUGGCAAGCGUUGUUCGGAAUUACUGGGCGUAAAGGGCGCGUAGGCGGCCUUCUAAGUCAGACGUGAAAUCCCCAGGCUUAACUUGGGAACUGCGUCUGAUACUGGGAGGCUUGAGUGCGGGAGAGGGAUGUGGAAUUCCAGGUGUAGCGGUGAAAUGCGUAGAUAUCUGGAGGAACACCGGUGGCGAAGGCGGCAUCCUGGACCGAGAUUGACGCUGAUGCGCGAAAGCCAGGGGAGCAAACGGGG